CAGAUCCUGUGCUCUGAGGUCGUGUAUCGCAUGGCGGGCGUCCCUGACUUACCUACAGCAGUGCUGAUAGACAGCGCCCUCACACUUCUCAGCUGUAUCUGGCUGAACUCAUUCUGCUACCACAUGUAUGCUUGUGUUCGCCAUCUGAGGCUUCCUAACCAGCUACUACCUGCUGAAGUAAGCCGGUUAUUCCGUCGUGAGGUGCUGUAUGUGUUUAUACCGUGGAGUAUAGUAUGUGUGGCAGCUGUUGCUUUGGAAAAGACGAGUAAACAUUACCUGAUCCACAGUCGUAUAGUAGUCCUUGCAGGGAUUUCAGUGUCUGUGGCAUUCAAUUUGAUUUGUCUCGGACUGCUUGGAUACAUGUACCUACGUACUCGGUGCUCCAUGCGGCAACUCGAAAUUGUUGAUAACAAGAAAUUUGCCUCAAAGAAGCAAUGUCUUUUUAUGUCAGUUAAAGCCAUUAUAUUAAGUGGAACAGGAAUUAUUAUUAGAAUUGGGUUCCACCAGGCUCAGGGAAUAGCGCAGUUUGUAUACUAUAUGCAUCUAGUUACGAUGGUGCAAGGACCAGUGCUCUUCGUCUGUUUCGUUUGCAAUGGAACGACGCUCCCCCUACUGAAGAACAGGAUACUUCUUUGGUGGAACCCAACCAACAUCCCUGCAGGUCUAGAGCUGUGUUCGGCAGCCGAGAGGAAUCUGGCCAGGAGAAACAAUGAACAGUCUCCCUUUUCAGAAUCCUCGCUGUAGCCUCCUUCAGUAUUUUUCGCAAAUAACUGUCUCCACACUACACUGCAUUAAACCCAGCAAUAAAAUGGACUCUACCUGGCAUGACAAUAUCAAAUGUCAUUAAAUCUGAUAUGGUACAGCCAGUACUUCUCUUUCCUAACGUCUCCUUCAUUUAUAACUGCGUGCUUAUUUGUGAGUGGUAGCCUCUGUCUACCUAUUCUAAUGCACUGAGACUACUCACUAAAAUUGUUGGGAAAUGCUUCGUGUAUACAAUAGGCUGCGUCAAUCACACGGCCUGUUAUAUACAAGGAGAACGCAGCACGUUGUCGGAGGAAUUCCCGUUCGUCAGUGUCAUCUACCGUGGCGAUGGUGCAUUUCUGGACACACGUUCGUAGGACGUUUUUUCUCCGUUUUCCUUCGAGGAUCUGUCUUUGCAGUUUGUCGGUUUUAUUAAUGUAUGAUGUAUGAUAUUAGUAUAUAACAUUAUGUCUGAAACAAGGAAAUUUUCCAUAUGUGUGUGAAAGAUGUACUUUUACAUGAUUUGUAAUUCAAGUACCAUGACAAGAGACAUUCAGAUACUUAUAAAAUCAAAAGAGAGGGGCCAAUGACUGAAGUGGUGUGUGCAUGAAAGUGUAAAUGGGUUUGUUGAGCUUAUUAGUGGUUCGAUUACAUAGAGUGGCUCAAACAGGUAUAGUAAUAAAGUAACACAUGACUUGUUGUGUGAAAUGUGGCUUGAAGUGAAUGCAAAGUGUCGAAUGGCAGAGUUAUGUGAGAUUAGCAUUAUUGGGUUUGUGAGACAAGAUGGUGAUUUGUUAAGCUAGAGGUUUGUAAGGCUACUAUGGCAGAUGUUAAAAGUUAAUGUUCCAUGUGCCACUCUUGAGCAAGGAAGAACAUUACUUAAGGGCGUAUUUACAGAAACAGUACUGUGGAAGGAUAAACUUGUGCCAGUACUGUGAGUCCUGGAGAACAUGUGCCAUAGUAGCUUCACUAGGAGCACACAGUACGCCGAAAUUGUUGUGAUUCGUAAUCAAUAGACGAUCUCCCAUCUGUUCAAAUAAAACCUGAGUGAGCAAAGUAAA